CGCCAACUUAGCGGUGGGGCUGCGAUACCUUUUCCAUUAGCGUAGUGGUAAGGUUCAGGUACAAUAAUGUAUUAUAGGAUAAUUUAGAAAUAGGCGGAGGCUUAACUACUUAGUUAAAAAUGUAGUCAGUAUUGUGUUUUUCCUAUUAUUUUAAAUACAACAAUGUAUUGGAAUCUGGAGCAUUUUCGAGGUGGCAAGUUCCGUUAGAAUUAAAGAUGGCGGAGUCAUCGCCCGGUUGACGCGUUAAUCCUUGAUAGCACUAGAAUCUAUCCCAGAGAAGGCAUAAGGAUAAAAUGUAAGACUCGAUUAAAACCGUCGAACAUCAUGGCAGGUCGAUUCCACCCGUACAAUAGGCCAGUAUAUUAGGAGUCCAAAAUAUACUAAAAUGCGCCCAGUUCAAACGCUAGAGGAUUAGCCUGUUUCGCUAAGGAAUAUCCCGGUCUUGCUAAGGAUUACACCCGGUUCGCUACGAGAUUACACACGUCAUCCGGUCUUCAGCGUAGAAAUCUCCCCCCUUAGGGAUUUUUCUAGUUAUCAUUACGCAGAUGUUUAGUGUGUCGGAGCUACCAGGCAGGCUUGAUCCGUGUUAUGUUUCGCGCAAUUGCUACGAGAGUUUUAGUAACAGAUGUAGAUUAUUACGAUUACGGAUAUACUCAGAAAUCAUACUUAGAUCCCGAAGCAGUUAAUUUUUAAUCUCAUUCUGUAAGUUAUUAUUUUAGGUUUAAAUUCGAAUUUUAGAAAGGACAUGAAUCACUUUGAAUACAAAGAUAAAAUAGCUUGUAUUUUGAUUAAAAUAUUAUGUAUAAUAUAUAAAUCACUAGGUAUAUAUUAUAUUUUUAACUGAGAUAACAAUUUGUUAUUGAAUUACUUCGUGAAAUUGCAAUCGUACAUGAAUUAUUAGAUUCGAGUUUAAGUUUCGUUAUUAUGAAUAUUACUUUAUAUAUUAUUUAGUCUCUUACAUACUCUGAAACGGAUAUUUAGCCGGACGAUGACGUAGAGUUAGACAUAGGAUAGUUAUAGAAUUAGAUUGAUAAUUAGGUAUGUAUUUUAUCACAUUCAGCAUUUGACGAACUUCGAACGUAAUUUUAUCUAGUUUCUAGGAAGUUAGCUAUACAUAGGUUCAUAAUAUAAGUAAAUUAAUGCUAAUUAGUGGUCUAUGAAUAGAAUAUAAUAUGUACAUAUAUGUAGUAUAAGGUAGCUAAUAAUAACUAGCUAUUUUUAACUUAUGUACAUAAAUUGCAGAAGUAAAAAGUAUUGCAUUCUAUAAGGGUAGGAGGCAAGCGUAUGUCAUUAGACUUACACUUAAUUAUUAUUAAUAUUAUAGGCAGGUAAAUAGCCCCUGAGACAAACAUAAAUAAUACCGUAGGUUUAGGAGACUUAAAAUAAGCUCCAAUAAAAUAUAAACCUGGAAGAAGCCUAAAUUGUUGGCAGGUAUAAUAAAGUUCUGAUCAGGAGAGGCUAGAGUAAAGUAAGAUUGAUGUAGGUCUGUUUAGGUUAACGAAAACCACUAUUAGAUAUUUUCAGGUUUAUUUUCAGCAUUGAAAUCAUAACUGGCCGAGUUUAUUAUAAUUUUACGGCUUAAGUCAUUGCUCCGGAGUAGAUACGUCAAUAAUAAUAUAAAAAUAAGGGAUACAAAACAUUAAAACUCGUAAUCAGUGAUUUGUCCCUUCUGUUGUAAUAUCGCUUUGUACUAUAAAAAGAUAUUUUAUUUUAAAACAUCUGAAUCAAUUUAAAAAUAU